rnacentral:lncRNA from 1 species
AUCAGGUUAUGCUUUUGGUUACGUGGAUCUAAAGGUGCUUGCCUGUGCCAGGGAUUUUCAUGCAUUUAAGGAAGAUCAGAAUCUGGCUUCAGAUUUAUCCAUGUUAGCUGAUUUCCUGCCAACUGACUGCACCUGGCUCACUCUAAAUUAGUUACAGCUAAUUGUCAACAAAUGGCAAGAAGCAUCCAGUAAUGCAAUGGCUGGACGACCACGAUGUGUCAGAUUAACUGGGUGGACACACUGGAUAUUAUCAACAAUUCUGCUGCUGUGGAGUUACCAGAUCAGUGGACAAGGACAAGAGCCUCACUCUUGCAGGAUGAAUACAGCCCAGCAAAGGUUUUGGAAUGGCAAAGCUUGACUGAAAAGGCCGAAGAGGUAACUCAAAAGCUGUAUUGCCUAUUGGUAACUGGUAUGACAAAUCACAAUUUCUCAAAGCAAAAACCUGAGGCAAACAGUCUGCCAAAGCAUCGGAAUAAAACAUGUUCAGUAACUAACAAAUGGUGUGAAAAUAAAGAAGGGACGGGGAGAGAGAGGCAGAGUAGGAAAGUAGUAUCACUGGGGUAGAGUGAAAUGAGGUUAAAAGGCUAUCAGUAGCCCUUCUAGAUCCCUUUUGAAUAAAAGGAGAAGAAUUGGAGACUACUGAACUGCA